GACGUAGGGCGCGAGCGUUGUCCGGAUUUAUUGGGCGUAAAGGGCUCGUAGGCGGCCAACUAAGUCAGACGUGAAAUCCCCAGGCUCAACCUGGGAACUGCGCCUGAUACUGGAUGGCUUGAAUUCGGGAGAGGGAUGCAGAAUUCCAGGUGUAGCGGUGAAAUGCGUAGAUAUCUGGAGGAAUACCGGUGGCGAAGGCGGCAUCCUGGACCGACAUUGACGCUGAUGAGCGAAAGCUAGGGGAGCAAACGGG
rnacentral:rRNA from 1 species